CGACAGAGCACCAUUGUAUUUAAAUGCAAUGAAAACAUAGACAUUAUGACAACUUUGGGCUCAUGUCAACAUGCAAACUGUCUUCACGCAAAAAUCAGUGUGUUGGAGCCAGUACAAGUGGCUGUAGAUUUCUCAACUUUAUCACCUAUUUCAGGAAGAACUGUCUUGCUCUUUAUGAUUUGCUGUUGGAUGACGCUCUAAGAACUGAAGAAGAGUAAUCAGACAUAAACCUCAACCCUUUGGAGGCUCUUGGCUGCCCAUCAGCACUGCAAAUUACGGGUACUCUACUUUGGGUACCCAAACUGAAAGGUAAGAGCUGAACACUAGUUUUUUUUGUUUCUAAAUCUCAUCUUCCCACUUAGACGUC
rnacentral:lncRNA from 1 species